AUGGGCUUCUUGCACCCCCUGCCCCAGUCCCAGGCAGUGUGCGCGGGCCUGGCCCUGGCCCACGCUGCCUGGAAGAGUGGGGGUCCCCCCCCGCACCCAGGGCUUCUGACCCCAUGCCAGUGUUGUGACGCUUCUCCAGGAGAGGCCUGGAAGCCACGCAGAUGCAGCAGUUUUGCAGCAGAAGCACAUACCACAAAAGCAGAAGAGGAUUCCUUUCUCCAGUGGUUCCUGCUUCUCACCCCUGUGACUGCCUUUGGCUUGGGGACAUGGCAGGUCCAGCGUCGGAAGUGGAAGUUGAAACUGACUGCAGAGUUAGAGUCUAGAGUUCUGGCUGAGCCUGUCCCUCUGCCAGCAGACCUGGUGGAACUGAAAACACUGGAGUACAGGACGGUGAAGGUCAGAGAGCAUUUUGACCACUCCAAGGAGCUCUACAUGAUGCCCCGGACCAUGGCAGACCCUGCCUGGGAGGCCCAGGAGGCCGGCCGGAUCUCCUCCUCAGCUGAGAGCGGGGCCUACGUCAGCACUCCCUUCCACUGCACUCACCUGGAACCACAAUCCUGGUCAAUAGAGGGUUUGUCCCCGGGAAGACAGUGAAUCCUGACACCCGAAGGAAAGGCCAGAUUGAGGGAGAAAUGGACCUCGUUGGGAUGGUGAGGCUGACAGAAACCAGGAAGCCCUUUGUCCCCAAGAACAAUCUGGAAAGGAACGACUUGGCAUUACUGAGACCUGGAGGCCAUGGCCAAGAUCACAGGCACAGACCCCAUUUUCAUCGAUAACAACUUCCAGAGCACAGUCCCUGGAGGACCUAUUGGAGGGCAGACUAGAGUCACAGUGAGGAAUGUGCACAUGCAGUACAUCCUUACCUGGUAUGAACUCUGUGCAGCCGCCUCAUACCUGAAAUUUCUACGUCAGAGACCUGGUACGUGAUGAGAUGACUUGACCCAUCCCUGUCCACAAAAAACUAGGAAGUUGCUGAACAAACAAAACAGACCAGACUUAUGCAAGACCAUAUACCAUUGGUAUAAAUAAAAGUCCUGAGCCUCUCUUCUUACCUUAAAUGAUAGUGACUGGUUGAUCAUAAAAUCCUGACUUAGUUUCAAAGUCUGCCUCAGGAAUUUAAGACAGCUUUUUCAAAACUUGACUGGCUAUACAAAAAAUAAAAAAUUAAAACAAAAAAGACCACUUGACCAGCCAAAUAAAACAAAAAACAAAAAAGAAUAUAAUAUAGGAGAAUAUCUUCAUGAUCCUGGGAUAAAGAGAUGUUUUUUAGAGAAGACACAAAAAGCACUAACCCUAAAGAGUGAUAAAAUUUUUUAAUAAUUUUUUAUUAGAGGCUAGUCAAGUAGAGCAGUGGGAGUGUAGAAGGAACAAAGGAAUCUGUAACUGGAUGUGAUCAAUUAGUUGUAAACAUCAUGGCACUCGGACCAGCCAAGAGUGAUAAAGUGUACCACAUAGAAUUAGGAACAUCUGUUCAUCACGAGAUACCAUUGAGAGGGUGAAAAAAACACAUUAACAGACUGAGAGAAGAUAUUAUUUGAAAUACAUAUAAUCAAAAGGGCUUAUAUCAAGAAUAUAUUAAAAAUCCCCAAAGAGCAAUAAUAAUCCUGCAGCAAAUGGACUAGAAACUUACUUAGGCACCUUUCUAAAAAGGAUACCCCAAUGGCCAAAGAUGCUCAACUUUGUUAGGAAUUAGAAAAAUGCAAGUUGAAAUCUCGAGAUACUGUAGCACAUUCACCAGAACGGUUAAUAUCCAUAUCAAUUAAAUCUACUAAGUACACUGUUAGGUUUAUACCCCCCAAAAUGAGUGCACAAGUCAUCAAAAGCUAUGUGCGAGAAUGCACAUAGCAGCAUUAUUUGUAAUACCCCCAAACUGGAACCCAGUAUUCAUUUCCCACGGCUGCUGGGCCUGGGAUUCUGCAAGCCACCCUUCUGCCAUGCCAGCUCCACCAACUGAGGGAGCUAAAGGAAGCCUGAAAAAUAGGAGGGAAAGGGGACUUGCUUCUUACUCCUUGUGCCUGAGCAUUGUGGUGGCAGCAGCUCUUUAACUAGCAGCUUCACUUGUCUCAAGUUUCCAGCUUUUUCCCACUCUCAGGACCAGCUUUUACUGUGCCUCUCAAAGAUGCCAGCAGUAAUUGUACAGCACUCCUUCCCCUGAAGUCUGAGUUGCACCUCCGCAGGGCUCCUGCUCCAAGCUCCUAGGUUCCAAUACCCCCCCCCUUUCCUUUUGUUAACCUGCAUCCCUCUGGGGACUGUAACUGCUCCCUUCCCCUGCCACCCCUGUGUUCCGUGGCAUUUCCCUUUUGCCUUUGCAGUCCU